rnacentral:rRNA from 1 species
AUUGAACGCUGGCGGAAUGCUUUACACAUGCAAGUCGAACGGCAGCACGGACUUCGGUCUGGUGGCGAGUGGCGAACGGGUGAGUAAUGUAUCGGAACGUGCCCAGUCGUGGGGGAUAACGUAGUGAAAAUUACGCUAAUACCGCAUACGAUCUAUGGAUGAAAGCGGGGGAUCGCAAGACCUCGCGCGAUUGGAGCGGCCGAUAUCAGAUUAGGUAGUUGGUGGGGUAAAGGCCCACCAAGCCAACGAUCUGUAGCUGGUCUGAGAGGACGACCAGCCACACUGGAACUGAGACGCGGUCCAGACUCCUACGGGAGGCAGCAGUGGGGAAUUUUGGACAAUGGGCGAAAGCCUGAUCCAGCCAUUCCGCGUGCAGGAUGAAGGCCCUCGGGUUGUAAACUGCUUUUGUACAGGACGAAAAGGUUUCUACUAAUACUAGGAGCUCAUGACGGUACUGUAAGAAUAAGCACCGGCUAACUACGUGCCAGCAGCCGCCGCGG